AAAAGUCGUAACAAGGUUUCCGUAGGUGAACCUGCGGAAGGAUCAUUAUUGAAUGAACAUAGAGUCGGUUGUAGCUGGCCCCUUUUAACCGGGGGGCAUGUGCACGCCUUCUCUUUUCAUCCAUACACACACCUGUGAACUUGUGAGACGGAUUUCGACCCUCUCCGGGGGGGAAAGGUCCGUCUGCUAUACAUAAACUCCUGAAUAAAUAAAUUAGAAUGUAAUCGAUGUAACGCAUCUUUAAACUAAGUUUCAACAACGGAUCUCUUGGCUCUCGCAUCGAUGAAGAACGCAGCGAAAUGCGAUAAGUAAUGUGAAUUGCAGAAUUCAGUGAAUCAUCGAAUCUUUGAACGCACCUUGCGCUCCUUGGUAUUCCUCGGAGCAUGCCUGUUUGAGUAUCAUGAAAUCUUCAAAAUAAAUCUUUUGUUCACUCGAUUGAUUUUAUUUUGGACUUGGAGGCUUGCAGAUUCACGUCUGCUCCUCUUAAAUUUAUUAGCUGGAUCUCGGUGAGCUCGGUUCCACUCGGCGUGAUAAGUAUCACUCGCUGAGGACACUGUAAAAGGUGGCCGGGAUUGCGGAUGAACCGCUUCUAAUAGUCCAUUGACUUGGACAAUAAAUACUUUAUGAUCUGAUCUCAAAUCAGGUAGGACUACCCGCUGAACUUAAGCAUAUCAAUAAGCGGAGGAAAAGAAACUAACAAGGAUUCCCCUAGUAACGGCGAGUGAAGCGGGAAGAGCUCAAAUUUAAAAUCUGGCGGUUUACCCGUCCGAGUUGUAGUCUAGAGAAGCAUCAUCUACG
rnacentral:rRNA from 1 species